UACGUAGGGGGCAAGCGUUGUCCGGAAUCAUUGGGCGUAAAGAGCGCGUAGGCGGUCCGGUAAGUCCGCUGUGAAAGUCAAGGGCUCAACCCUUGAAUGCCGGUGGAUACUGUCGGGCUAGAGUCCGGAAGAGGCGAGUGGAAUUCCUGGUGUAGCGGUGAAAUGCGCAGAUAUCAGGAGGAACACCGGUGGCGAAGGCGGGUCUCUGGGCCGUAACUGACGCUGAGGAGCGAAAGCAUGGGGAGCGAACAGG
rnacentral:rRNA from 1 species